GCAAUGCGUGGCAUACGGCUCAGUAACACGUAGUCAACAUGCCCAGGGGACGUGGAUAACCUCGGGAAACUGAGGAUAAACCGCGAUAGGCCAAGGUUUCUGGAAUGGACACUGGCUGAAACCUAUAUGGCCCCUGGAUUGGACUGCGGCCGAUCAGGCUGUUGGUGAGGUAAUGGCCCACCAAACCUGUAACCGGUACGGGCUUUGAGAGAAGGAGCCCGGAGAUGGGCACUGAGACAAGGGCCCAGGCCCUAUGGGGCGCAGCAGGCGCGAAAAUUCUGCAAUAGGCGAAAGCUUGACAGAGUUACUCUGAGUGAUGCCCGCUAAGGGCAUCUUUUGGCACCUCUAAAAAUGGUGCAGAAUAAGGGGUGGGCAAGUCUGGUGUCAGCCGCCGCGGUAAUACCAGCACCCCGAGUGGUCGGGACGAUUAUUGGGCCUAAAGCAUCCGUAGCUUGUUCUGCAAGUCUUCCGUUAAAUCCACCUGCUCAACAGAUGGGCUGCGGGAGAUACUGCAGGGCUAGGAGGCGGGAGAGGCAAGCGGUACUCAGUGGGUAGGGGUAAAAUCCUCUGAUCCACUGAAGACCACCAGUGGCGAAGGCGGCUUGCCAGAACGCGCUCGACGGUGAGGGAUGAAAGCUGGGGGAGCAAACCGGAUUAGAUACCCGGGUAGUCCCAGCUGUAAAC
rnacentral:rRNA from 1 species